AAUUAAUACCAAUGGAAACAAAAUUUGGCUAGCUGUCCAACAGGGACAAAAACUGCUGUGUUUCUGUAGUUAUUUAUUAAUUCUCAUUUAUUGUUAUGUCUAUAGUAGCAUAACUUUACAGGCAAAAUGGGAAAAAGCUCUAAGUCUGCCUGCAAACCUCUGCACAUCUGUUUCAGUGAGAUGCCAUGCUGACUGAAGAGCCUGGUUGGAGCAGCUAGCAGCAAGGGUACCUGAGAUCUUAAUUCCUCUCCUCUAAUGGAACACACCUAACUGAGGAUACAAGAUCCCAGAUUUUGAUGUUGCCUGUGAUGAAAUGCAGAAAUCUCCAAGAGUAAUUCAGAUUUUAGAAGGAUAUGAAUCACUCUUGGAAGGUACCUACCUCAUUCCAGUGCCUACAGAGAUUGUUGAGGAGAAAUAUAUUUCUGGUAAGAAGAUCUUAGAGUCUGCAACCGACCUGAGCCUACACUGUUUUCUCUACAUUCAGUGCUUCAGCUAAGUAAAUUGUUGUAUCUUUUUAUUUUCUUUAACACUGUGCUAAAAAUGCAUGUAGUUUAUAAAGAAGGAUCCAUCAUGCAGUAGUGGAAUUUAUAAGAUUUUCUAUAUAUAAGAAGAAAAAAAGAGUAUUUCUAAUUUUAAGCUGUUUUACAGGGAAGAUUAAGGCAAGAAAAAUCAAGCAGAAAGAACAGCAUGAAAGUAGCAAUAAGAGAAAUCUGUGCAGUAUCUCUCCAUAAUAGCCUCCAAUGUUUUGGGAACAAAAUAACAUCUGUCUGUAUCUCCUUCAGAGAUGUACAGACCUUAGAUAUUGCAAAGAUGUAGAAAAGGAGGCAGAAGAAAUAGGAACAUUUUAAACCUGAUGCACUGGAAAAUCUCCCCACUGUUGAGUACUUUCUAUGAAUUGCAGCACAGAGGAAGCUGAAUGCAGCCCAAGAUUGAUCUUGGUUUGGAGGAGCCAGACUGCGUAGAAAGAGGAGAAACUUGUUCACAGCAACAGAUGACAAAGGACUCCAUGUUGUUGCUUACACUCAGAAUGGUCUGGACACCCACAGCAUCUGGCAAACCUCUGCAACAGCCUUGGGUUGAAAUGGAAGCUCAUGCUUCAGACAAAGAUCUCCUCUCAGCUUUCCAGUAAGCCAACAUUUCUGGUCACUGACUGACAGAGCUAUCAUAUAAUUGGGUGCCAGAAGGGUGCAGAAGAAAUAUGUCAGAAGACUCAUUUCCUCAAGGUGUCUAUCUUUUCAUGGAGUAUAAAGGCAACCUAUGGUGACUUUAUGUCCUUGUCUACAAAUAAUACCCCUGAAGCUAGCCCUCCCUGUCUCUAUUACCAGCGCAGAACUGUGCUGCCAGUAGUCUAUAUUCUUAAGAAUAACAGCUCUUUUGCAAUCCCAGGUCUCAAUACAAAUGCCGGUCGCGUCCUAGCUGUAUAGUGGAGUGAGAUCUGGAUGUCAACCAACCUUACCUUCUUAUGGCCUGAUUUCCCUAGAAAGGGAACUUGGGUACUAGUCCCAGACAUAAGUUGCAGUAUGGUGAAACAGUUCCUGCAUCCCUUCAGGUCCCAUUUCUAGAUGACUCUCAAGUCCACCAUCCUUCCAUGGCACUCUGCUCUGCAUGCUGGCUGGUGGGAAAUAUAUUCCUAAAACCUAAUUUUCCUCAUGCACUGGUAAGGAGGCAUCUAACAGAUAGCUCAUGUUGGUGACCAGUAAUGCAGGACCAGGGACGAAGGACAGUCAAACAUAGAGCCUGAGAUGAUCUCUCUCUUCUUUUGUCUACAUAUUUCAGUGUAAAGUUUUGAAUCAGGUCUAAAUAUAAGAAACAUCUGCACCUUUACCAAAGUGGACAGAUGGUGGGCUCCAAUGCCUGUAGCUUGCAUGUAACUUAUGGUGGCUAAUAAAGCAAUAUGCUGAAAACUGUGGCUGUAUUCU
ensembl:lncRNA